AUGAACCAAUCACUCCGACCAUGGCGAUGGGAUUUCCCAAAGGCCCAUUAAGUCCACUGUCAAGGAAAAGGAUGUUGGUUGCCCUAGUUGCUUCUGGCAGUCAUUUUGAAAUCAUGAGAGACCCUGGCAUGAAGACAAAGCUGGCACAUGGAGAACGGCUAAGGCUGGAGAGAGAAUAAGGGAGAUCCAGAGUGGGAGCCCCAUUUGUACUAUGCCCACAGCUUGAUCUGCCUCUAGAUCUCUUAUUAUGUGACAGAAUAUGUUUCUUCAAUGUUUAAGCCAGUUAGAGGCAGGUUUUCUGUAGCUUCCAGCCAAAAAUCGUCUAAACUGCUA